AGAGUUUGAUCCUGGCUCAGGACGAACGCUGGCGGCGUGCCUAAUACAUGCAAGUAGAACGCUGAAGGAGGAGCUUGCUUCUCUGGAUGAGUUGCGAACGGGUGAGUAACGCGUAGGUAACCUGCCUGGUAGCGGGGGAUAACUAUUGGAAACGAUAGCUAAUACCGCAUAAGAGUGGAUGUUGCAUGACAUUUGCUUAAAAGGUGCACUUGCAUCACUACCAGAUGGACCUGCGUUGUAUUAGCUAGUUGGUGGGGUAAGGGCUCACCAAGGCGACGAUACAUAGCCGACCUGAGAGGGUGAUCGGCCACACUGGGACUGAGACACGGCCCAGACUCCUACGGGAGGCAGCAGUAGGGAAUCUUCGGCAAUGGACGGAAGUCUGACCGAGCAACGCCGCGUGAGAGAAGAAGGUUUUCGGAUCGUAAAGCUCUGUUGUAAGAGAAGAACGAGUGUGAGAGUGGAAAGUUCACACUGUGACGGUAUCUUACCAGAAAGGGACGGCUAACUACGUGCCAGCAGCCGCGGUAAUACGUAGGUCCCGAGCGUUGUCCGGAUUUAUUGGGCGUAAAGCGAGCGCAGGCGGUUAGAUAAGUCUGAAGUUAAAGGCUGUGGCUUAACCAUAGUAGGCUUUGGAAACUGUUUAACUUGAGUGCAAGAGGGGAGAGUGGAAUUCCAUGUGUAGCGGUGAAAUGCGUAGAUAUAUGGAGGAACACCGGUGGCGAAAGCGGCUCUCUGGCUUGUAACUGACGCUGAGGCUCGAAAGCGUGGGGAGCAAACAGGAUUAGAUACCCUGGUAGUCCACGCUGUAAACGAUGAGUGCUAGGUGUUAGACCCUUUCCGGGGUUUAGUGCCGUAGCUAACGCAUUAAGCACUCCGCCUGGGGAGUACGACCGCAAGGUUGAAACUCAAAGGAAUUGACGGGGGCCCGCACAAGCGGUGGAGCAUGUGGUUUAAUUCGAAGCAACGCGAAGAACCUUACCAGGUCUUGACAUCCCUCUGACCGCUCUAGAGAUAGAGUUUUCCUUCGGGACAGAGGUGACAGGUGGUGCAUGGUUGUCGUCAGCUCGUGUCGUGAGAUGUUGGGUUAAGUCCCGCAACGAGCGCAACCCUUGAUCUUAGUUGCCAUCAUUAAGUUGGGCACUCUAAGGUGACUGCCGGUGACAAACCGGAGGAAGGUGGGGAUGACGUCAAAUCAUCAUGCCCCUUAGGACCUGGGCUACACACGUGCUACAAUGGCUGGUACAACGAGUCGCAAGCCGGUGACGGCAAGCUAAUCUCUUAAAGCCAGUCUCAGUUCGGAUUGUAGGCUGCAACUCGCCUACAUGAAGUCGGAAUCGCUAGUAAUCGCGGAUCAGCACGCCGCGGUGAAUACGUUCCCGGGCCUUGUACACACCGCCCGUCACACCACGAGAGUUUGUAACACCCGAAGUCGGUGAGGUAACCGUAAGGAGCCAGCCGCCUAAGGUGGGAUAGAUGAUUGGGGUGAAGUCGUAACAAGGUAGCCGUAUCGGAAGGUGCGGCUGGAUCACCU
rnacentral:rRNA from 1 species